AGCUCCAAUAGCGUAUACUAAAGUUGUUGCAGUUAAAAAGCUCGUAGUUGGAUUUCUGUGCACCGUUGAUUGUGCUUCUCUAUGAGGAGCGUCAUUCAUCGUUGUACAUCCUGUUGGCAGACACGUGCUGGCAUUUAUUUGUCGGUGCGGGGAGACCACUCGUUUACUUUGAGAAAAUUAAAGUGUUCAAAGCAGGCUUAUCGCUUGAAUACAUUAGCAUGGAAUAAUAGUAUAGGACUUUGAUCUUAUUUGUUGGUUUCGAAGAUCAAAGUAAUGAUUGAUAGGGACAGUUGGGGGCAUCAGUAUUCUGAAGCGAGAGGUGAAAUUCUUGGACCUUCGGAAGACUAACAACUGCGAAAGCAUUUGCCAAGGAUGUUCUCU
rnacentral:rRNA from 1 species